rnacentral:rRNA from 1 species
UACGAAGGGGGCUAGCGUUGUUCGGAAUCACUGGGCGUAAAGCGCACGCAGGCGGAUCGAUAAGUCGGGGGUGAAAGCCCGGGGCUCAACCUCGGAAUUGCCUUCGAUACUGUCGGUCUCGAGUCCGGGAGAGGUGAGUGGAAUUCCUAGUGUAGAGGUGAAAUUCGUAGAGAGUAGGAAGAACACCAGUGGCGAAGGCGGCUAACUGGCCCGGUACUGACGCUCAGGUGCGAAAGCGUGGGGAGCAAACAGG